rfam:Setosphaeria turcica Et28A unplaced genomic scaffold SETTTscaffold_1, whole genome shotgun sequence.
GGCAAGAUGGCCGAGCGGUCUAAGGCGCUAGCUUCAGGUGCUAGUAGAGAAAUCUGCGUGGGUUCGAAUCCCACUCUUGUCA